GUGCCAGACUCCUACGGGAGGCAGCAGUGGGGAAUAUUGGGCAAUGGGCGCAAGCCUGACCCAGCAACGCCGCGUGAAGGAAGAAGGCUUUCGGGUUGUAAACUUCUUUUCUCAGGGACGAAGCAAGUGACGGUACCUGAGGAAUAAGCCACGGCUAACUCCGUGCCAGCAGCCGCGGUAAUACGGAGGAUGCGAGCGUUAUCCGGAUUUAUUGGGUUUAAAGGGUGCGCAGGCGGAGGUGCAAGUCAGCGGUCAAAUUGCGGGGCUCAACCCCGUACUGCCGUUGAAACUGCAUCCCUUGAGUGCGCGAGAAGUAUGCGGAAUGCGUGGUGUAGCGGUGAAAUGCAUAGAUAUCACGCAGAACUCCGAUUGCGAAGGCAGCAUACCGGCGCGCAACUGACGCUCAUGCACGAAAGCGUGGGUAUCGAACAGGAUUAGAUACCCGUGUAC
rnacentral:rRNA from 1 species